AUUGAACGCUGGCGGCAUGCCUUACACAUGCAAGUCGAACGGCAGCACGGGUGCUUGCCCCUGGUGGCGAGUGGCGAACGGGUGAGUAAUACAUCGGAACAUGUCCUGUAGUGGGGGAUAGCCCGGCGAAAGCCGGAUUAAUACCGCAUACGAUCUACGGAUGAAAGCGGGGGACCUUCGGGCCUCGCGCUAUAGGGUUGGCCGAUGGCUGAUUAGCUAGUUGGUGGGGUAAAGGCCUACCAAGGCGACGAUCAGUAGCUGGUCUGAGAGGACGACCAGCCACACUGGGACUGAGACACGGCCCAGACUCCUACGGGAGGCAGCAGUGGGGAAUUUUGGACAAUGGGCGAAAGCCUGAUCCAGCAAUGCCGCGUGUGUGAAGAAGGCCUUCGGGUUGUAAAGCACUUUUGUCCGGAAAGAAAUCCUUGGCCCUAAUACGGUCGGGGGAUGACGGUACCGGAAGAAUAAGCGCCGGCUAACUACGUGC
rnacentral:rRNA from 1 species